CAAAGGUAGCAUAAUCAUUAGGGGUUUAAUUGGAACCUGGUAUGAAGGGUUGGAUAAAGGAAAGACUGUCUUUAAAGGUAAAAAUUGAACUUUACUUUUAAGUGAAAAGGCUUAAAUAUAUCAAAGGGACGAUAAGACCCUAUAAAGCUUUAUAGAUAAUUUAAAUCUGACUAAUUUAGUAAUAAAGGUUAGAUUUGAUUAUUCUAUUUUGUUGGGGUGAUAUGAGUAUAAAUAUUGUUAACUGCUUAAAAAAAAUUCUUUUAUAGGAGAGUUCUAAGUAUAUGAUCCUUUUUAAAGAUUAAAAGACUAAGUUACUUUAGGGAUAACAGCGUUAUUUCUUUUGAGAGUUCAUAUCGAAAAAGAAGAUUGCGACCUCGAUGUUGAAUUAAAAUAUCUAUAUGAUGCAGCCGUUAUAAAAGAGGGUCUGUUCGACCUUUAAAUUUUUACAUGAUUUGAGUU
rnacentral:rRNA from 1 species